rnacentral:rRNA from 1 species
GAAUAUUAGUCAAUGCUCGAAAGAGUGAACUAGCUAACUGAAAUCAAUUUAAAAUUGAUAACAUAAGGGAAAAUAAUGAUAUUACCUUAUUAUUAGUGUCGUCCAAAACUGGUGCCAGAAGACUCGGUAAGGCCAGAGACACAAACGUUAAUCGUCUUAAUCAGGCGUAAAGGGUUUGUAGGCGGCUUUUAAUUUUCUUAUAAUCUUUUUUUUUUAGAUAAAAUAAGUUAAGAAUAAAAGCUAGAAUCAAAUAGAGGAUAUAUCAAAUAAUGCUUAGAGUAGGUCUGAUAUCCAUAGAUACUAAGUAGAAUAUUAAAGGCGAAAGCUUUUUUCCAUAAAUGAUUGACGCUCAGAAACGAAGGUGAGGAUAGGAAAUAGGAUUAGAUACCCAAAAUACCCCUCUCUGUCAACGAUGAAUGGUAAUUAUUAAUAAUAAAUUUAAUGAUAAUGUUAACAUGAUAACCAUUCCGCCUUGUGAGUACAACUGCAAAGUUGAAAACAAAAAAAUUAGUCGGUUUCGGAGCAAACGAAGUGAAGCAUGUUAUUUAAUUC